AUUUUGAAAACUUCAAAGCAUGUAAUGGUUAAUGAAAAACUGUAAGGCUAGUGAAAUAAAACCUGCAAUAAAACUAUAUUUUAAAAUGAUGAAUAUACCCUUUAAGAGCAAAUGACAAACUUUUACAGUUAAUUAAUAUCUAAAAUAUAGGAAAACCAUAAAAUUCCUCUCUGUAUGGAGGUUAUUGGAAAAGUGUCACAAUCAAAUGAACUGUUAUCUAAUCGGUUACGAAUGCGGUCCAUUAGAUGCGCCUACGCAUAAGGAGUUAGUUUCAUGUCGUGCGCGUUGAAUAUGCAGGAGCUAGGGCUCUCGCUGUCAGUUUAGUAAAAGGCGAAUAAAGAGCAGUACAAAUGGGUGGCGAUAGUAUUCACCUGCACUCGCAAGAGGAAAUGUAGAUUAGAGUUAGCAACUAUGUAGUAGAAACGAGAUAAACAAAAAGUAGGGAGUCUGGAUUUUAAAGUGACUGCCCAAAGCUUUGAUUUUAUUCUGGAAGGAGUCAAAAUGAGUUCUAAAAUGUUUAAAAUUCUAAUCGUCAAAUUUUGGGAUUAUAAUGGUUAACCAUCCUUUUGCAGCCGAAACACAACAAAUAUAAACUUUUGUUUACUUGUGCACUUGAGUUUUAAUGUUAGUAUCCAAGUAAUGUUAUAAUUCUGCACCUUACAGUGUAUUUCCCCAGGUCACCAGGUUCCCCGCUGCCACCAGCAGCUUGCACCGUCUCCUACGCCACAGCGCGUAGCUCGCGAUAACUUGCGUAUUUUAUUGCCCAAUCCCGCGCUUGUGCGUGCCCCAUUAUUACUGAUACUACGGUGGCCACACUCCGGGACUUGGGGAGACAUGCUCCAAUAAAAACAACGGCGGAAUGCAAAUAAUACCAUAUGGCUAGGGGACCUCUAUGUGCUCUAUGGACAAAGCUAAAGAGUCAGCGACAAGUCAAACUGCCACAUACACAAGUUUGUCCUGGACUUGUGGAUCCCAUGGUCACAGCAGUCGGUAUGAUCACGCGCUGUACGGUAACUUCGUAGUUUCCACAUUACGAUAUGGAAAGUUUUUGUUUAGUGUUAAUUAUUUGUGGCCUAAUGCCAUCGUAAUGGACCAAGUUGCGAGUACCCUCCUAUUAUAACAUGUACCCACAUCAUACGAUAAAAACUUAUCGGAGUUCACAAAGUUAAAAAACUAUUUCACUUGUAAUGUCGAGGGGUGGAAACUUCAAAUAAAAUAGUUGGCGGAACUUUUUCUUUGCUUCAGAUAUUAUAUGAAUUAUUUGAAGAACCAUGAAAUAUAAUUUUCUGUCAGAAAGUUUUUCUUGUUUGAGCUUAAGGUUACAUGAAUAGUUUAAGCUCUCAACAGCUUUAAAGCUAUCUCGGUAAGUUUGAAGAAGUCCUUAAGAGAUGUGAUGGGAUCUGUUGGCUACGCCGGAUGGGCCCUGAGGGUGUUGCCGGCCGGAAGCUUUUAGGGCCCAAACAUUGGGGCCCCGGGGCCCGCGCCUCGUCCCGGAGCCAUGGGAAUCUCUCGAUUAGAAAUGGACUUGAAGAUAUUUCAAUAUUUGACUCACUAAUGGAUUCUAAUGGCUUCCAAACUGAUGUUACACAUAAUGUUUGAACGGUUGUUGAUAUUCAUUUUGACGUAAAAUCGUGUUUAAAUAUCUCAAAGGCAUUUCUAGUAAAUGUACAUAUUAUUCCUAAUUAUAUAUUUUUCUUAUUAAAUAACAGCCAGUUUUACAUUUGAACAUUAGUAAGUACUGACUAUCAUGAAUACAUUCUUUUUCUUUUUUGGUUCGACGUUAUUGAACGUCGAACCAAAAAAGAAAAGAAGAACCAAAAAUUAUUUAUCUCGCAUUCAUUGGAAUGCGAGAUAAAUAAUGUUAUAUAAAAAUAGGUACUAUUAGCAAUUGUAUAGGCAAGUACAAAUAAAGGAUAUUUGGGUCACCCCACACAACCAUAAUUUUCCCAGCAAAUAACAAAACCAAAUUGCCUGCGCAAAUCCCAUUAACGAUAAAAACAAUGGCAUUAUCAGCCAUUCUAUAAUUAAAACAAAAAGUUCCACAAAAUAAAUUGAACAUAUCUCCGCGAGCCAUCGGAUUCGCCUCCACUGACUAGAUACCCCGCCAUGCCACCUAUAAAUCCACGGUAUUGUAAAAAACGUGUCACUUGCCACUCGGGGCCCAAUUACUACAAUUUAUGGACAUUCAAAUAUGACCAUGAGUCGUAGUGUUGUACCACGUUAUGAAAAUAUCCGCAAA